rnacentral:ncRNA from 1 species
UUAGGUAGAGGUGCGAAUAUAAAUAGUCAUCAUGAGGAGCUGGCACGCUGUGAUUCAUGAUAAAAGGUAUACUCGCCGAAGUUCGAUGAUGGCCAAAUCAUCGUGCUGGUUGUCUAUUUAAUAGGUAGAUGACUGUCACCAAUAAUCUAUUGGUGGAGUGCUAUCA